rnacentral:rRNA from 1 species
GACGGAGGAUGCAAGUGUUAUCCGGAAUCACUGGGCGUAAAGCGUCUGUAGGUGGUUUAACAAGUCCACUGUUAAAAAUUGAAGCUUAACUUCAAAGAUGCCGUGGAAACUUCUAAACUUGAGUAUGAUAGGGGUAGAGGGAAUUUCCAGUGGAGCGGUGAAAUGCGUAGAUAUUGGAAAGACCACCAAUGGCGAAGGCACGCUACUGGGCCAUUACUGACACUGAGAGACGAAAGCUAGGGGAGCGAAUGGG